rnacentral:lncRNA from 1 species
AUGUUCAUUACUUAUCAGCAGGCUAGAGAAUAAAGGAGGGAUCUUCAUAAUCCUCUCCUCGUUCCUCUAAUGGGAGAUUAGCCAGAUCCUACACCUCCACUCCACCUCACAGGGUCUAGCUCCACUAACAAUGGACCGAUGUUAUAUUGAAAAGUACUGAAUCUAGUUUCAUUUACAGGAUCAUCUAUUUUCUAGAGGCUGAAAAGUAACUAAAGGCAA